UACGGAGGGUGCGAGCGUUGUCCGGAAUCACUGGGCGUAAAGGGCGCGUAGGCGGCCUGAUAAGUAGGGGGUGAAAUCCUGCGGCUUAACCGCAGGGCUGCCUUCUAAACUGUCAGGCUAGAGCACAGUAGAGGCAGGUGGAAUUCCCGGUGUAGCGGUGAAAUGCGUAGAUAUCGAGAGGAACACCUGCGGCGAAGGCGGGUUGCUGGGCUGACACUGACGCUGACAGCGCGAAAGCUAGGGGAGCGAACGGG
rnacentral:rRNA from 1 species